CACGUAGGGUGCGAGCGUUGUCCGGAAUUAUUGGGCGUAAAGAGCUCGUAGGCGGUGUGUCGCGUCGGCCGUGAAAACCUGCAGCUUAACUGUGGGCUUGCGGUCGAUACGGGCAUCACUGGAGUGUUGCAGGGGAGACUGGAAUUCCUGGUGUGGCGGUGAAAUGCGCAGAUAUCAGGAGGAACACCGGUGGCGAAGGCGGGUCUCUGGGCAACAACUGACGCUGAGGAGCGAAAGCGUGGGGAGCGAACAGG
rnacentral:rRNA from 1 species